GGAUGCGAUCAUACCAGCACUAAAGCACCGGAUCCCUUCAGAACUCCGAAGUUAAGCGUGCUUGGGCGAGAGUAGUACUAGGAUGGGUGACCUCCUGGGAAGUCCUCGUGUUGCAUUCC
rnacentral:rRNA from 1 species